UACGUAGGGUGCAAGCGUUGUCCGGAAUUAUUGGGCGUAAAGAGCUCGUAGGCGGUCUGUCGCGUCUGCUGUGAAAACUCAGGGCUUAACCCUGAGCUUGCAGUGGGUACGGGCAGACUAGAGUGCGGUAGGGGAGACUGGAAUUCCUGGUGUAGCGGUGAAAUGCGCAGAUAUCAGGAGGAACACCGGUGGCGAAGGCGGGUCUCUGGGCCGUAACUGACGCUGGAGGAGCGAAAGCAUGGGAGCAACGG
rnacentral:rRNA from 1 species